rnacentral:rRNA from 1 species
UGAAGGGACCACCAGUGGCGAAGGCGUCUCACCAGAACGGAUCCGACGGCAAGGGACGAAAGCUAGGGGCACGAACCGGAUUAGAUACCCGGGUAGUCCUAGCCGUAAACGAUACUCGCUAGGUGUCGGCCACGGUGCGACCGUGGUCGGUGCCGUAGGGAAGCCGUGAAGCGAGCCACCUGGGAAGUACGGCCGCAAGGCUGAAACUUAAAGGAAUUGGCGGGGGAGCACUACAACGGGUGGAGCUUGCGGUUUAAUUGGAUUCAACGCCGGA